rnacentral:lncRNA from 1 species
UACAAUACAACGAUUAACAACCAUCCAAACAAGGAGUACCUAAAGUUUCACUAUUAUUCAUGUAGUAAAAGUGAACAACUAUAGUUGAAAUGUGUUUCGAUAAGAAUUUACUAAUAACACACGUAGGAAACUCACACCUCUAAUAUUGCAGGUAUGAAGCUCCAAAAACAUGGAUACUUUAGCCUUUCAACCUUCUAUUUAUUGAUACCAUAAAAAUAAAUUAAAUGAUCAAAUCACUUAAUCACCAUUUGUCUGUUAUUUUUAGGGAAAAUGGUAAAAAAUAUCCUUCAACUUUGGUUUAUUAGUUGACUAUGCCCUUACCGUUAAAACAAAGUUAUUCUUACCACUGCUGUUACUAAUUUCAUCAUUUGUGCCCCUAUGUUGACGGAA